GUGCACCAGUCGAGAAUAGUCUACAAUGGACGAAAGUCUGAUAGUGCGACGCCGUGUGUGCGAUUAAUUCCUUCGGGAUGUAAAGCACUUUUCUAUGAGAUAAAAGCUCUUUAGGUUAAUAGCUUAUUGAGACGGAUAUUAUUAUAGGAAUAAGCUCCGGCUAACUCCGUGCCAGCAGCCGCGGUAAUACGGAAGGAGCGAGCGUUGUCCGGAUUUACUAGGCGUAAAGGGCUAGUAGGCGACUAAUUAAGUUAUAUGUUAAAUCCCACGGCUCAACUGUGGUCCUGCAUGUAAUACUGGUUAGAUAGAGUACUGUAGAGGAAGGCAGAAUUCCUGGAGUAGCGGUGGAAUGCGCAGAUAUCAGGAAGAAUACCAAAAGCGAAGGCAGCCUUCUGGGCAGUUACUGACGCUGAAUAGCGAAGGUGGGGGUAGCGAACAGGAUUAGAUACCCCGGUAGU
rnacentral:rRNA from 1 species